GCUGACGAAUUAAAGCGAAUGCAAUAUGGCGUCGUUGUGCUGUGUCGUGGCUUUUGUAACUAAAACUCCGUUUUGACAUCACACUAAACUAUUCUCAUCAUAAUCUAAAACACCAUCGAAAACGAAAUAACAAAAUCAACAAAUACUUAAAAAAAAUAAAAAACAAAAAUAAAUAAAACAAGUUAAUCAAACUACAAACCCCAACAAUAAAAUCGCGCACGAUUAAGAUAUACUAAUAUUCUGAACACUGUUGCAGAUGUUAAGAAAUGGUGGAGGAAUACAGAAAUACAGACGAAUAAUUUCUUAAUCCCAAAGUUUGAUUAAACACAAUAAUAAACUUUCAUACAAUUUAUGAAUUAAAAACAUCAUUAUUAAUUUAAUAUCUAUUUAGCGGCCAAUAAGUAAACUUCGUGAAUUAAAUACUUGUGAAAAAGUGCUUAUCGUACGUGCUCGUACGCGAGCUUUCUGGCUUUAUUUUUUUCUUUUUGGUCAAGACUGGCCAAAUAAACCGCGACGCUGAUAAUUAAUUUAAAAAAUUACUCUUAAUACUCAAUAAUUUUUGGAGUAGAAAUUUAGUAAAAUAUAAAAGCUAUUCACUGUAAACCGUAUUAAAAAACUUAAGAAUCUCAAAACAAAAAAUCAAAUUGGGAGGAAAUGUUAUCAUACCUCACAUUGUAAUGAUUGUUGUGAGUACGAAGUGAGUUAAAAAUAAAGGGUUUAUAUCCGUUAUGAUACUCUGCCACAUGGGAACAGCAAAUAUUUAAACGGUCAGACGUUGGAAUCGAAAAAUCCAUCGUUAUAUUUUCAUGAACUCAAAAAAAAAAACAUUCCGAGGUCCGACACUACUGACUUAAAAAAAUAUUGUCAACGCCAGCAGUUGGACUGCUUUUUAAAAUAUACACAAAGUAAAUAGAGCUCAGCAAAAACUAACUACGAAAAAGAUCGUCCAGUGAAUAAAAAUCUUUCCUGCGCCAGGAGUAAAACAAGUUGUGCAUACCCCUUUUUUGGCGGCAAAAUAUUCUGUUAAAUUUACUUCAAAUUCUUAAUAACCACGUUAUUGAAAAAUAAACACUCCUCCAAUUCCCUUAAACA